rnacentral:lncRNA from 1 species
CUCUCUUCUACAUGGAUACAUUUCCUUGGGUCCUGUAAGUGUUCACAUGCCUUGCCACAUGAAGACUGUGCACAGCCUGUGUCCCUGGCCCUGUGCACUGGUGUUAAGAUGACCUGGAGGGCAUAGUGUCACCUAGAUUACCCAGGUGGGAAAGAACAUAGGCAUCAUCCUCUUCUUUGUUCCUUGUUCAAUUCUCUAAGCGAAUAUCUAUUGAGCAGAGAUUUACUUGCAAGCGAAGCGAAGGUGAGACCUGGUUCACCAAGGCUCUACUUCUUUCUGGUGUAAAAUCUAAAAGGAGGGCAGAUAUCCAGUUGUUGUGAAUGAUAUUUUAAUGCUACACCUAAUAAACCUAAACCAAUACUAACAGUUUUGAUAAAAAUAUACAACUUUUAAGUGAAGACAGGCUCAGCAUUCCAAUCUGUCCUUUUCUUUCGGGCCCAGCUCAGCUCCUGUGCUAAACACCGUAACCACAGAGACCAAUGUGGCCCUGAAGAGGAGGAAUUUUUUUAGUAAUUUUAUUGCAUUAUAAGGUGCAAAUAGAAUAAAAUUCCUCACACUUAGAGUGAAAUACAGUAUCUACCUCAAAGGAAAAGAAUUAGAAAAUUGUUGGACUAGACUGAGUUUAAAAGAUGAGACUACAUUAAUUUUCUUGCUGUUGAGUUGGAAUGAGGCUUGAAAUGAAUGAAGUUUGUAGAAACAUGUAAUUUUUAUGUUUUCACCAAAGCUGAAAGGUGACUGCUAGUCACAUAAACUCCAUAUAACAUGGCAGAUCCGAGUCACCAGAGGAGUCUUUUGUCUCUUCUCUCAACUGAACCCUUGGGCUGUUUUGGGAAUCCUACCACCCACCCGUAGCCUACAGCAGGUAACUCAGCCCCCCAGUGUACCCUCACAAGGAACAACCUUUAAUCCCUUAUCUUGUCACAGGCUUUCUCCAGGGCAAUACAAUCCAGAUGGGACAGAAAGCCGCAGAGGCCUGGGGCCGCCGGGGCAGAGGACGCUAGGAGGAGGAAAAGCCUUUGUGGCCAGUGUGGAAAGGCGAACAAAGGCCUCUCCUCUCUCUCUUACUGCUCAAGUCAGCCUCGAUGGGUGUGUAUGUAAAUCUCCUGGAGUCCAUUCUGGAAGGACCUGGACUCUAACUUAGCAAUACAAGGUACACCAACGGAAAUUCACUGUGUGUACAAAUGCCAUCAUUUCACUGGAAGAUGCCAAACUUUGAAUGAGGAGUGUCUCCACUGGCUCCAUCUCCCGGGAUUCCAUUUCUGGGCACUGCACAGCACAUCCCAAAUCAGCCAGCCUCUAUGUGGAGGUUGAAGGUGUCUCAAUCCUGCCACCCAGAGCAGGGUUCCCAUCUUGGUUCAGGCAGAUGGGAGAGGUGUAAGAGGGACGUCUCUCAAACAUUUGCCUACCACUGUAGGUCCUCAAUAUCAAGACCACUUCAAUCUCAGGAAAUGCCAGUCUGUAACCAGGUCUAUAUGGAAGAAGAAAGGUUACCUUUUCUCUGAAAGUAUAUUUAUAUUUUUUCUAAUUUCUAUAUUAAAAGUUACAAUCUCAAAGUUGUAAACAUAAAGCUACCAUAUGACAUAGUAAUCUAGGCAUAAACCCCAAAGCAGGACAACGUGUGUGCACAAACUGUAUGCACAUAUCUAUCACCUAAUAAAUGAAUGAGUAAGAUGUGGUGUGUCUACACAAAAAGAAAUGAAGUAGUCAUCCAUGCUACAAUCUGGAUAGAAAAUACUGUGCUAUGUGAAAGAAGCCAGACAUAACAAGUGAGUCUAUUUAUGUGAAAUAUCCUAAAUAGGCUCCCAGAGGUUGAGGGGUGGGGAGCAGAGAAGAUAGUGAUUGUUAAAAGGGUAUGGUUAAAAUGUUCCUGAAUUUGACAGUAGUGAUGGUUACCUAGUCUGAGGAAUAUACUGAAAAACAUGCAGCCACACCAAUAUUUAUAGCAGCUCAAUUCACAAUAGCUAAACUAUGGAACCAAUCUAGGUGUCCUUCAAUAGAUGAAUGGAUAAAUAAAAUGUGAUUU